rnacentral:lncRNA from 1 species
GUUCUGUAACACCGAUCAUACUUGUUACCCUUCUCUGAGUCUUUCACAACCUAGCUAUACUCUUUCUGAGAAGGGGAACCAGACCUGCACAGAAUGCGUGAUGGGACACACGCUGAGGCACCAGGGAGGAGCUGGAGAAUGAAUCAGUCAAGUUUGUGUGUACAAAAGGCAUUCUUUAAAGUCUUUGCUAUAGCAGACCACGCAGUGUCUGUUACCAUGCUAUGAGGUGUGUUGUGAAUGCCAGAUUUUCCGAG